AACGAACGCUGGCGGCGUGGAUAAGACAUGCAAGUCGAACGCUGACUUCAGGGUAGCAAUAUUCUGGAGUCGGAGUGGCGCAAGGGUGCGUAACACGUGGGUAAUUUGCCGCGAAGUCUGGGAUAACUUGCUGAAAGGCGAGCUAAUACCGGAUGUGAUGUUUGGGAGCAUCUCCUGAAUCUCAAAGUUGGGACCGUAAGGCCUGACGCUUCACGAUAAGCCCGCGGCCUAUCAGCUAGUUGGUGAGGUAACGGCUCACCAAGGCUAAGACGGGUAGCUGGUCUGAGAGGACGACCAGCCUCAC
rnacentral:rRNA from 1 species